rnacentral:rRNA from 1 species
GGCCUUUAGAUAAUAAUUUUAGGUCUGACCUGCCCACUGAAAAGUUGAAGGGCCGCGGUAUUCUGACCGUGCAAAGGUAGCAUAAUAAUUAGUUUUUUAAUUGAAAGCUGGAAUGAAUGGUUGAAUGAGAAAAUGACUGUCUCUAUUAAAUUUUAAUAGAAUUUUAUUUUUAAGUAAGAAAGCUUAAAUGUUUCUAUAAGACGAGAAGACCCUAUAGAGUUUGAUAGGUUUAAUUGUAAUUUCUUUUUAGUAUUUUUUGGGAUUUUAUAUUUGUGCUUAUUUGGUUGGGGUGAUUGAAAAAUUAAUUGAACUUUUUCUUUAUUUUUACAUUAAUUUAUGAGCUUUUGAUCCAGAUUUUUUGAUUAUAAGAUUAAAUUACCUUAGGGAUAACAGCGUUAUUCUUUUUGAGAGUUCAAAUCGAAAAAGGAGUUUGCGACCUCGAUGUUGGAUUAAAAUUAAAUUUUGGUGAAGAAGCUAAAAGAUUAGGUCUGUUCGACCUUUAAAAUUU